UACGAAGGGGGCUAGCGUUGCUCGGAAUCACUGGGCGUAAAGGGCGCGUAGGCGGCCAUUCAAGUCGGAGGUGAAAGCCCCAGGGCUCAACCCUGGAAUUGCCUUCGAUACUGUUUGGCUAGAGACCGGAAGAGGUAAGUGGAACUGCGAGUGUAGAGGUGAAAAUUCGUAGAUAUUCGCAAGAACACCAGUGGCGAAGGCGGCUCACUGGCCCGGUACUGACGCUGAGGUGCGAAAGCGUGGGGGGAGCAAACAGG
rnacentral:rRNA from 1 species